rnacentral:lncRNA from 1 species
UGACGGCACUGCCCACAUCUUCCUGUCCCCAGUGGGUUCCUUCCCCUCCCUGGUGUCCUGCAGUGGCAGCUCACUCCCAUCGACCGCAGCGGGCAGCCAGGGGCCAGCCCAGGCGCCGCACUGACAUCAGGGGCCAAGGUCCAGCCUGGAGGCUACGCAGCAGCAGCGGGACAGCCGGAGCCGGGCCCCCACAGCACCAUGAGGCUGGGGCUGCUCUGCGGCCUCACUGCCGCCGCUGCCCUCAUGACAGUGGCGGGAGCUGACCAUGGAAACACGAAGGCCUCACAGCGGAGAGAGGGAACGAGUGGCGUUGGCCGGCGCCGGCCCCACAGACCCUGCUCCGGGUGCUUCUCCGUCCUGAGCGAGGUGAGCCAGGCUGUGGUUGUGCUACACCAUGCCAUGGGGCAGGGGGACAUGGCUGUGACUCGUCAGUGUCACCCCAAUGGGGCCUGUCUCUCCCAUAGGAGUCGCAGUCGAUGUCGUGGCGUGCCAGCGAGGAUGAUGAGGAUCAGCCGCGCAGGCGGGCGCGUAUGGAGCCAGUGGAGGAGGAUGGUGAAAGGUUCGGAGGUGCCACAGGCAGCCCCCAGCCAUGACCCCCCCCAGUCAGUCUGGCACCAGACCUGGUGUGACACUGUGCUCACUCCCACAGGGGAGGGACAGGAGGGAGGACGAGGAACCGGCACAGCGUGAGACACCCCGGCACCGUCCUACUGCCGCGACAGGUAACACCAGAGCCGUAUCAGGACCCUGCCAGGACCCAUCUGUGAGCCUGGGGAUGGGGACACAGGGGUCACAGGUACCCCUGGCAGCCCCCACUGUGCCUUGCAGGAGGUGCUGAGUGCCCAGACAGCGCGGCAAGGAGCAAAGCUGGUGCCUUCGCACAGCCCCAUGCCAGGAGGGAACCGGGGGCCCAGCCAACCCCAAGCCAUGCCCUGAGGCAGCUGGGGUCCCACCCGCACCAUCCACAGGGUAUAAGUGAGCCUGUGCCUGAGCAAACCCAGGUCCACUGACCACCCUGUGCACCCCCAAAGUGCUCCUGGGGUCAGCCCCCUGGCCCUGCAUUGCCAAGACACUGAAUAAAGCCAGAGAGCCAGAGCAUGUGGGUGCAUCUGUCUAUAUGUCC